GACGAACGCUGGCGGCGUGCUUAGCACAUGCAAGUCGAGCGGAAAGGCCCCUUUGGGGGUACUCGAGCGGCGAACGGGUGAGUAACACGUGAGUAAUCUGCCCUUCACUUCAGGAUAGCUCCCGGAAACGGGGAUUAAUACUGGAUAUGACACAUUCGCGCAUGUGGGUGUGUGGAAAGUUUUUUCGGUGGGGGAUGUGCUCGCGGCCUAUCAGCUUGAUGGUGGGGUAAUGGCCUACCAUGGCUUCGACGGGUAGCCGGCCUGAGAGGGUGACCGGUCACACUGGGACUGAGACACGGCCCAGACUCCUACGGGAGGCAGCAGUGGGGAAUAUUGGACAAUGGGCGGAAGCCUGAUCCAGCAACGCCGCGUGAGGGAUGACGGCCUUCGGGUUGUAAACCUCUUUCAGCACAGACGAAGCGCAAGUGACGGUAUGUGCAGAAGAAGGACCGGCCAACUACGUGCCAGCAGCCGCGGUAAUACGUAGGGUCCGAGCGUUGUCCGGAAUUAUUGGGCGUAAAGGGCUCGUAGGCGGUUUGUCGCGUCGGGAGUGAAAACGCCGUGCUUAACACGGUGCUUGCUUUCGAUACGGGCAGACUGGAGGCAUGCAGGGGAGAAUGGAAUUCCUGGUGUAGCGGUGAAAUGCGCAGAUAUCAUGAGGAACACCGGUGGCGAAGGCGGUUCUCUGGGCAUGUCCUGACGCUGAGGAGCGAAAGUGUGGGGAGCGAACA
rnacentral:rRNA from 1 species